AUUGAACGCUGGCGGCAUGCCUUACACAUGCAAGUCGAACGGCAGCACGGGAGCAAUCCUGGUGGCGGGUGGCGAACGGGUGAGUAAUGUAUCGGAACGUGCCCGGUCGUGGGGGAUAACGCAGCGAAAGCUGUGCUAAUACCGCAUACGAUCUAUGGAUGAAAGCGGGGGAUCGCAAGACCUCGCGCGAUUGGAGCGGCCGAUAUCAGAUUAGGUAGUUGGUGGGGUAAAGGCCCACCAAGCCGACGAUCUGUAGCUGGUCUGAGAGGACGACCAGCCACACUGGGACUGAGACACGGCCCAGACUCCUACGGGAGGCAGCAGUGGGGAAUUUUGGACAAUGGGCGCAAGCCUGAUCCAGCAAUGCCGCGUGCAGGAUGAAGGCCUUCGGGUUGUAAACUGCUUUUGUACGGAGCGAAACGGCUUCCACUAAUACUGGGGGCUAAUGACGGUACCGUAAGAAUAAGCACCGGCUAACUACGUGCCAGCCGCCGCCGUAA
rnacentral:rRNA from 1 species